rnacentral:rRNA from 1 species
AUACCCGCAGCGCAAGCGGUGGUCGAUUUUAUUGGGUGUAAAACGUUCGUAGCCGGUUCAUUAAAUCCUUGGGUAAAUCGGCUGGCUUAACUAUCCGAAUUCCGGGGAGACUGGUGAACUUGGGACCGGGAGAGGCAAGAGGUACUUUUGGGGUAGGGGUAAAAUCCUGUAAUCCUAAAAGGACCACCGGUGGCGAAGGCGACUUGCUAGAACGGAUCCGACGGUGAGGGACGAAGCCCUGGGUCGCAAACGGGAUUAGAUACCCCGGUAGUCCAGGGUGUAAACGCUGCAGACUUGGUGUUGGGGACCCUUCGGGGGUGUUCAGUGCCGGAGAGAAGUUGUUAAGUCUGCUACUUGGGGAGUACGUCCGCAAGGAUGAAACUUAAAGGAAUUGGCGGGG